UAAUGGUUUAAGUUAUCUUUUGAGUGUUCUGGGUUGAGUUAUGAGCCAUAAAGAGUGUUGGGAUGUGGAGGAAAAAUGAGAGUGUUGUCGUCGGGGUGGUGAAGGGUGGGGUUUUUGUGGCCGUGGUAAGGUUUAAGUAAAGCAAUGUGAAGCAACCACUCCUAUGCAUUUGAUGAUGCGAUAUGGACCAUAAUAUUUUCGAAUGAGUUUGUGGUGAGGCUUGGAAGAGAGGGAAAAUUGUUGGUAUGCUUUUCGUCGUAGUGGCACCCAAUUGUUAAUGUUGAAGACGUAGUCGUGAUUUGUUUGCAAUUUGGGCCAUGCGAUGUUGAGUGUGAGCGAGGGUGGUCUUCAAAUGGUGCAUUAUCUAUGUGCACUCUUGUAAGGUAGUGGCGAGAGCUGGUUCUGUUGUCGUGCUCGAAAUGUAGUCUGAUAUGGAAGGUGGAGGUCGCCCAUAAAGCGCUUGGAAAGGUGUAGUAUUGAUUGCGGUAUGGUAGGACGAGUUAUACCAAAACUCAACAAGGUGUAAGUACUUGUACCAUGUCCUCGGAUGGUCACUUGCGAAGGUAAAUUUCUAAUCCUCUAUUUAUGACUUCCGUUUGACCAUCUGUUUGAGGAUGAUAGGCGGUGCUAAAUUUGAGUUUGGUGCCUUGUAGGUGAAAAUGUUGCUUCCAAAAAAUUACUGAGUAAGAGUGAGUCUCUAUCGAAGAUGAUGGAUUUGGGAAUGUCGUGCAACCUACAAAUCUCAACAGAAAACGGUUAGCCAAUUGGGAUACGGUGAAGGAGGUGGGUAAUGCUAUGAGGUGGACAGAUUUGGACAAAAGAUCACAUAUGACCCAUAUCACCGUGUGGCUAAAUGUGUUAUGAAAUCUGUGGUGAGCUCAUCCCAAAUUUGGGUUGGUGAGGGAUUGGGUUGUAAAAGACCUAAGGGUUUGUUGUUGACUUGUUUAUUUUUUUUGGCAAGGGAGACAUUGUUUGAUGAACGAUUUGACAUCUCUAUACAUCCCUGGCCAAUAUAAGGACGCGGCUAGGCGAGCCACAAUGGCUUUAAGGCCCGAGUGUCCAACAGAGGGGGUGGCAUGGAACUAGUGAAGUAUGGUGGUGUGCAGAGAUUAUAUGGAUGUUAGAUAUAGUCUUCGGUCGAGAUACAAAAGAUCGUUUUGAAAGGUAUAUUCUUUGUUUUGAGAAGCUGUAACUUUGUGUACUUCUUGUUUCCCCAAUUUUGACUGGUAAUAUUUUUUUAAUUGCAAGAGGAUUUCUAGGAUUGGGGAGGAGAUGGCCAAAAAAAUAGAAGUGGGUGACCGAGAGAGGAAAUAAACUGCUUGAUUGUGGCGGUCUGGGCGGUACAAAAUAUAAAAAAUGUAACCAAUGAGUUUGGUGGCCAUUUUUGUUGCUCUAGAGUAGAACAUGCCUUGGUAAGUAACCCCUUAAGACUUCUGUGAGAAUUUGGAAAUGAUUGUCAAUUAGGUAGUGUCUCCAUUUUUUUAUUGCCUUAGUGAUUGCGAGCAUUUCUUUGACAUGCACUAAAUUAUAAUGUAUUUUGGAACAUAGCUUCUUGCUGAAGAAAGCAAUGGGAUGACCAGCUUGGGAGAGAACUGUGCCAAUGACAGAAUUGGAGGCAUCUUUUUCAACCACAAACGAAAGAGAAAAAUCUAGAAGAUGUAGAACAAAGAGUGUAGUUAGGAAUUUCUUAAAUUGUAAAAAGGUCUUUUGUGCCUCUUCAUUCCAUGUAAAAACUUUGAAUUUUAGUAAAUCCGUGAAUGGAGGGGCAAGAAUGGCAUAACCGUGUAUAAAUUUGUGAUAAAACUCGGUAAUUCCCAAAAAAACGCGGAGAGUGGUGAGAGAGGUAGGUUUGGGCCAAAGAAGUAUGGCCUGAAUCUUGUCUGGGUCAGGAGCAACAGUCCCUGCUUGAAUGAUAUGGCCCAAAUAGAAAACCCUAGACGUUGCAAACAUGCACUUAGAUUCUUUGACAAAAAAUUGUUGUCUUGAAGUAAUUAGAGAGUAAUGGUAAGGUGUUGGAUAUGCUCUGACAUGGAUUUACUGUAGAUAAGGAUGUCAUAAAUAAACUAGCACAAAUUGUCUUAGAUGCGGUCUUAGGAGGUCGUUCAUGGCCGCUUGAAA
rnacentral:lncRNA from 1 species